rnacentral:rRNA from 1 species
UACGUAGGGGGCUAGCGUUGUCCGGAAUCAUUGGGCGUAAAGCGCGUGUAGGCGGCCCGGUAAGUCCGCUGUGAAAGUCGGGGGCUCAACCCUCGAAUGCCGGUGGAUACUGUCGGGCUAGAGUACGGAAGAGGCGAGUGGAAUUCCUGGUGUAGCGGUGAAAUGCGCAGAUAUCAGGAGGAACACCAAUUGCGAAGGCAGCUCGCUGGGACGUCACUGACGCUGAGACGCGAAAGCGUGGGGAGCGAACAGG